rnacentral:antisense_RNA from 1 species
GGGCCUCUGCUAAUGCUGGAGAGCUCAAGAAAGAAAAGAGCAAUGUUAAGUGAGGCUGUACCCACAGAUCAUGCUCAAGCAAACUCGAACCGUGAGCACAUUUCUCUUAAACAAAGAACGCUUAGAAUAAAAAUUAAAAUUUCCCACAAAUUUCUAACUUUAAAAUAGUUUCCCAAGAUUUCAGUGGUAUCGUAUAUAUGCCCAUAAAAUUUUUUGGAUUACUAUUCCCACAAGUGUAAGAUGAAAGAGGACCUGCCCUCCAUUCUAUCUACUCCCUCUCUGCAAAGGCCAUUUUGAAGAUCUCAGUUUUACUGAAAGGGGUCUGCCACACAUAACUUCCCUGGUGUACCAGCAACAAGUGUUCAGUGGACCAUGGCAACACAGAGAAUGACGGAGGAGAGAAAAUGCCAUGCAGAAGUGAUAGUCAAGAUGAAGAUGUGGCAGAAGAGCAGCCCCCAGUAUAUAUUCAGUGUGUCCUCUGAAGUAACAACCAUCCCAUCUGGCUGAGAAGUGAUGGACACGGCUCCUUAACCACACUGUACCCUCCGUUCUUGGCACCUCUCUACCAGAAAGAUAUCGACAAAUUGGAUGGAAUUCAGAGAACAGCAAGAAAAAUGAUUAAAGAGAUGGAGGCAGUGACUUACGAGGAAAGAUGAAAAGGACUAAAACUGUAUAGCUUGGCAAAGCAGCAACUGAGUGACUUCCUAUUAUCCUUCUCAAAGUUAUUGCUGCAGAGGAAAGAAGCAUACAUCUUUCACCCACCAGGAAACCCCCAAAGCACCUAUUACUGUAAUAGCCAUGGGAAACAGAAGGCACCUCAAAUAAAGGUAGGGGGAAAAAAUGAAAGAGAUGACUUUGGCCUGUGCCUGUUUGACCUCUGAGAGAUACUUUUUGCAAGAAAUUGUUAAGUUUUGGCCCAAGAAGUGGUCGGUCUUUUAUCCUUCUUUGUGGAGGCCAAAAUGCAAACCAGGAUGAAGAAACCAUAAGUGGCAGUUUGAGGAGGCGGUGGAGGGACUAUCUAGACUCAGUGUAUCACCAACGAAACAUGAGGCCU